rnacentral:rRNA from 1 species
GACGAACGCUGGCGGCGUGCCUAAUACAUGCAAGUCGAACGAGAGCAACCGGUGCUUGCACUGGUCAAUCUAGUGGCGAACGGGUGAGUAACACGUGGGUAACCUGCCCAUCAGAGGGGGAUAACAUCCGGAAACGGAUGCUAAAACCGCAUAGGUCUUCGAACCGCAUGGUUUGAAGAGGAAAAGAGGCGCAAGCUUCUGCUGAUGGAUGGACCCGCGGUGCAUUAGCUAGUUGGUGAGGUAACGGCUCACCAAGGCCGUGAUGCAUAGCCGACCUGAGGGGGUGAUCGGCCACAUUGGGACUGAGACACGGCCCAAACUCCUACGGGAGGCAGCAGUAGGGAAUCUUCCGCAAAGGACGCAAGUCUGACGGAGCAACGCCGCGUGAGUGAAGAAGGUUUUCGGAUCGUAAAACUCUGUUGUUAGAGAAGAACAAGUGCUAGAGUAACUGUUAGCGCCUUGACGGUAUCUAACCAGAAAGCCACGGCUAACUACGUG